rnacentral:lncRNA from 13 species
CCGACUGCUCUUCGGGCAGGCGUGUGUACAUGGGAGAGGUGCGCUAUUAAUGGCUCUGGAGCUCCGUCCAACUAUGGCUUAAAGAAAGGAAAUUAGCUCUGGGGGAGCACAGAAGAGUACCAGAUUUCAGACCUUCCUCCCACCCCAAAAAGGAGAAACACCCUGUUAACCUCACUGAUCCCUCAGAAGCCCCCACCCCACCACAUGUGAUAAGGAAAUAGAAAAGAGAGCAGCAGAGUGUCUACCGUUGGCACAAUGGGCUGUGUUUCUCUAACUCUGGGGCCUUGAGUUGUUGGAGAGGACAUCACGAAAGGCUCGUGUCCCCAUCGAACAGACCCUGGGAACUGGGGCAGCAGAAGCAGCUCUGGUGAGUAUUUUGGGUAAAUGGUGUGAUAGGAGGUUAGCAUGCCAGAAUAGGAAACCAGCUUGUAAGGACACAGAAGAAAAGACACUAGGUCCAGACAAGUCAGGGAGCACCAAUCAAAUGACACACAUCUGGGCGAGUUAAGUUCAGGGCCCAGAAAGUCAGAAAAUUAGCAAAGUCAACACCGGUAUGCUGCUCUCUUUAAUAAGUCUGCCCCGUGUUAGUGAGUAAGGGCUCCUUGAAUUUUCUGACAGUCAAGAGGGAGGGUUAAGGAAAGACAUAAGUUGGGGCCUUCAUAGUGGUUCCAAGAGUAUCUUCCUCCUCUCAGGAUGGGCCUUUCUCCCUCCUGG